CAGCCGCCGCGGUAAAACGAAGGGGGCUAGCGUUGUUCGGAAUUACUGGGCGUAAAGCGCACGCAGGCGGCUCGAUAAAUUAGAAGUGAAAGCCUUGGGCUUAACCUGAGAAUUGCUUUUAAGACUGUCGAGCUAGAAUCCAGAAGAGGGUAGUGGAAAUCCGAGUGUAGAGGUGAAAUUCGUAGAUAUUCGGAAGAACACCAGUGGCGAAGGCGACUACCUGGCCUGGCAUUGACGCUCAUGUGCGAAAGCGUGGGGAGCAAACAGGAUUAGAGACCCGCGUAGUCCCUGUCUCUUAUAC
rnacentral:rRNA from 1 species